rnacentral:rRNA from 1 species
CGUAGGGUGCGAGCGUUGUCCGGAAUUAUUGGGCGUAAAGAGCUCGUAGGCGGUGUGUCGCGUCGAUCGUGAAAACUUUCAGCUUAACUGGGAGCUUGCGGUCGAUACGGGCAUCACUUGAGUUCGGCAGGGGAGACUGGAAUUCCUGGUGUAGCGGUGAAAUGCGCAGAUAUCAGGAGGAACACCGGUGGCGAAGGCGGGUCUCUGGGCCGAUACUGACGCUGAGGAGCGAAAGCGUGGGAGCGAACAGGAUU